AUGGGGGAAGGGAGACGUGGGCUGAGGAUAGGAUUGGGAUCAGCUGUCAAACAACCUGUCCACUGCCCAGCCUCUCACACAGGAAGAGCAAUGGGCCCUUAAGCAAGAUACCGGGAGGAUGGACUGUGGAACCUGUGAGAGCUAUCGUAAGACGGCACGCGAGGUCGCUGGAGAGAAUUCCUCUCGUGCGAUUCCGGCCUUCAAACAAAACCCAAUUUCUGCGGGAAAUUCAGGAGCCGCUAAUCGGAGGCAUCAACACGCAGCGCAAUCAUCGGUGCUGUUAUAAUUAAAAGGUGUCUCUGGAUCAGGUGGUUGUGGGUUUCAAGCACCCACGCUGGGGUCAACAGUGAUGCUCUCGUGCUAUAAUAAUAAAAUAAUAUUAAUCCCUG